rnacentral:rRNA from 1 species
CCUACGGGAGGCAGCAGUGGGGAAUUUUCCGCAAUGGGCGAAAGCCUGACGGGGCAACGCCGCGUGAGGGAUGAAGGCCUCUGGGCUGUAAACCUCUUUUAUCAAGGAAGAAGAUCUGACGGUACUUGAUGAAUAAGCCACGGCUAAUUCCGUGCCAGCAGCCGCGGUAAUACGGGAGUGGCAAGCGUUAUCCGGAAUUAUUGGGCGUAAAGCGUCCGCAGGCGGUCUUGUAAGUCUGUCGUUAAAGCGUGGAGCUUAACUCCAUUUCGGCGGUGGAAACUACAAGACUAGAGUGUGGUAGGGGCAGAGGGAAUUCCCGGUGUAGCGGUGAAAUGCGUAGAUAUCGGGAAGAACACCAGUGGCGAAGGCGCUCUGCUGGGCCAUAACUGACGCUCAUGGACGAAAGCUAGGGGAGCGAAAGGGAUUAGAUACCCCUGUAGUCCUAGCCGUAAACGAUGAACACUAGGUGUCGGGGGAAUCGACCCCCUCGGUGUCGUAGCUAACGCGUUAAGUGUUCCGCCUGGGAGUACGCACGCAAGUGUGAAACUCAAAGGAAUUGACGG